UUUUUCAUACAUCAACAUGGGGCACAUCACAAGAAAUUAUCAGGACAAAAUGCUAAGCAGUGCUCCAAAUUUAGAAAUACUUCUAUAUCAAUAACAAUGCUAGACAGUAGCAAUCUCAUUUGUUUGCAUGCACAUAGAUAAAUCAUAAAAACAGUAUCAUGCAGUAUUAUCAACCACCACAUCAUAAUGCAUUAUUUACAGGGAAUUUUAGCAAAAAUAAAAAAAUAAAAAGGGCUGCCUGGUUAUA
rnacentral:misc_RNA from 1 species